AACGAACGCUGGCGGCAUGCCUAACACAUGCAAGUCGAACGAGACCUUCGGGUCUAGUGGCGCACGGGUGCGUAACGCGUGGGAACCUGCCCUUAGGUUCGGAAUAACUCCCCGAAAGGGGUGCUAAUACCGGAUAAUGUCUUCGGACCAAAGAUUUAUCGCCUUUGGAUGGGCCCGCGUUGGAUUAGCUAGUUGGUAGGGUAAAAGCCUACCAAGGCGACGAUCCAUAGCUGGUCUGAGAGGAUGAUCAGCCACACUGGGACUGAGACACGGCCCAGACUCCUACGGGAGGCAGCAGUGGGGAAUAUUAGACAAGGGGCGAAAGCCUGAUCCAGCCAUGCCGCGUGAGUGAUGAAGGCCUUAGGGUUGUAAAGCUCUUUUACCCGGGAUGAUAAUGACAGUACCGGGAGAAUAAGCUCCGGCUAACUCCGUG
rnacentral:rRNA from 1 species